rnacentral:rRNA from 1 species
CCUACGGGAGGCUGCAGUGAGGAAUAUUGGUCAAUGGACGAGAGUCUGAACCAGCCAAGUAGCGUGAAGGAUGACUGCCCUAUGGGUUGUAAACUUCUUUUAUAUGGGAAUAAAACGUUCCACGUGUGGGAUUUUGUAUGUACCAUAUGAAUAAGGAUCGGCUAACUCCGUGCCAGCAGCCGCGGUAAUACGGAGGAUCCGAGCGUUAUCCGGAUUUAUUGGGUUUAAAGGGAGCGUAGGUGGAUUGUUAAGUCAGUUGUGAAAGUUUGCGACUCAACCGUAAAAUUGCAGUUGAAACUGGCAGUCUUGAGUACAGUAGAGGUGGGCGGAAUUCGUGGUGUAGCGGUGAAAUGCUUAGAUAUCACGAAGAACUCCGAUUGCGAAGGCAGUUCACUGGACUGCAACUGACACUGAGGCUCGAAAGUGUGGGUAUCAAACAGGAUUAGAUACCCGGGUAGUC